ACAGCCUCAUGCACCCUGUGUCUCUUCAUUGCACCAGAAGCCAGAUCAACAGCCCCAUCGAGGCCUGUGAGGAAGGAGCGGGACAUAAGGACAGAGAGACGGCAAAGGUGAGGGACCCGGUGUAGGCAUCAGAGAUGCCCCAGAUGGAUCACCAGUUCCUACUACAGUACCACCUCCUCUGCCAAGGGGAUCUUUCCUGACAUCCUUGACAAAUCCAAUACUGUCCAGAUCUUCUACAGCA
rnacentral:lncRNA from 1 species